CGCAGCCGCGGUAAUUCCAGCUCCAAUAGCGUAUAUUAAAGUUGCUGCAGUUAAAAAGCUCGUAGUUGAAUUUCGGGACUAAUAUGUCGGUCGUGCCUCGGUACGUACUGGUUUAUUGGUUUCUCCUUUCUGAAGAACCAUGAUGUCAUUUAUUUGGUGUCGUGGGGAAUCAGGACUGUUACUUUGAAAAAAUUAGAGUGUUUAAAGCAGGCUCACGCUUGAAUACAUUAGCAUGGAAUAAUGAAAUAGGACGCUUGAUUCUAUUUUGUUGGUUUCUAGGAUCGACGUAAUGAUUAAUAGGGAUAGUUGGGGGCAUUAGUAUUCAAUUGUCAGAGGUGAAAUUCUGGAUUUAUUGAAGACUAACUACUGCGAAAGCAUUUGCCAAGGAUGUUUUCAUUAAUCAAGAACGAAAGUUAGGGGAUCGAAGACGAUCAGAUACCGUCGUAGUCUUAACCAUAAACUAUGCCGACUAGGGAUCGGAUGAUGUUAAUUUUUUUAAUGACUCAUUCGGCGCCUUACG
rnacentral:rRNA from 1 species